rnacentral:rRNA from 1 species
UACGUAGGGACCGAGCGUUGUCCGGAAUCAUUGGGCGUAAAGAGCGUGUAGGCGGCCACUUAAGUCCUGCGUGAAAUCUUGCGGCUCAACCGCAAGCGGUCGUGGGAAACUGGGUGGCUAGAGUGCGGGAGAGGAGAGUGGAAUUCCUGGUGUAGCGGUGGAAUGCGCAGAUAUCAGGAGGAACACCGGUGGCGAAGGCGGUUCUCUGGGCAUUACCUGACGCUGAGGAGCGAAAGCAUGGGGAGCGAACAGG